AGAGUUUGAUCAUGGCUCAGAUUGAACGCUGGCGGCAGGCCUAACACAUGCAAGUCGAACGGUAACAGGAAACAGCUUGCUGUUUCGCUGACGAGUGGCGGACGGGUGAGUAAUGUCUGGGAAACUGCCUGAUGGAGGGGGAUAACUACUGGAAACGGUAGCUAAUACCGCAUAACGUCGCAAGACCAAAGAGGGGGACCUUAGGGCCUCUUGCCAUCGGAUGUGCCCAGAUGGGAUUAGCUAGUAGGUGGGGUAAAGGCUCACCUAGGCGACGAUCCCUAGCUGGUCUGAGAGGAUGACCAGCCACACUGGAACUGAGACACGGUCCAGACUCCUACGGGAGGCAGCAGUGGGGAAUAUUGCCACAAUGGGCGCAAGCCUGAUGCAGCCAUGCCGCGUGUAUGAAGAAGGCCUUCGGGUUGUAAAGUACUUUCAGCGGGGAGGAAGGGAGUAAAGUUAAUACCUUUGCUCAUUGACGUUACCCGCAGAAGAAGCACCGGCUAACUCCGUGCCAGCAGCCGCGGUAAUACGGAGGGUGCAAGCGUUAAUCGGAAUUACUGGGCGUAAAGCGCACGCAGGCGGUUUGUUAAGUCAGAUGUGAAAUCCCCGGGCUCAACCUGGGAACUGCAUCUGAUACUGGCAAGCUUGAGUCUCGUAGAGGGGGGUAGAAUUCCAGGUGUAGCGGUGAAAUGCGUAGAGAUCUGGAGGAAUACCGGUGGCGAAGGCGGCCCCCUGGACGAAGACUGACGCUCAGGUGCGAAAGCGUGGGGAGCAAACAGGAUUAGAUACCCUGGUAGUCCACGCCGUAAACGAUGUCGACUUGGAGGUUGUGCCCUUGAGGCGUGGCUUCCGGAGCUAACGCGUUAAGUCGACCGCCUGGGGAGUACGGCCGCAAGGUUAAAACUCAAAUGAAUUGACGGGGCCCGCACAAGCGGUGGAGCAUGUGGUUUAAUUCGAUGCAACGCGAAGAACCUUACCUGGUCUUGACAUCCACGGAAGUUUUCAGAGAUGAGAAUGUGCCUUCGGGAACCGUGAGACAGGUGCUGCAUGGCUGUCGUCAGCUCGUGUUGUGAAAUGUUGGGUUAAGUCCCGCAACGAGCGCAACCCUUAUCCUUUGUUGCCAGCGGUCCGGCCGGGAACUCAAAGGAGACUGCCAGUGAUAAACUGGAGGAAGGUGGGGAUGACGUCAAGUCAUCAUGGCCCUUACGACCAGGGCUACACACGUGCUACAAUGGCGCAUACAAAGAGAAGCGACCUCGCGAGAGCAAGCGGACCUCAUAAAGUGCGUCGUAGUCCGGAUUGGAGUCUGCAACUCGACUCCAUGAAGUCGGAAUCGCUAGUAAUCGUGGAUCAGAAUGCCACGGUGAAUACGUUCCCGGGCCUUGUACACACCGCCCGUCACACCAUGGGAGUGGGUUGCAAAAGAAGUAGGUAGCUUAACCUUCGGGAGGGCGCUUACCACUUUGUGAUUCAUGACUGGGGUGAAGUCGUAACAAGGUAACCGUAGGGGAACCUGCGGUUGGAUCACCU
rnacentral:rRNA from 1 species